UAUGGGAUUGAACGAAAAGCAAGCCGAGUACGUAUUUACGAGAAACGGAGGAGAGUCCUGAUUUAAUUUAAAAACGAUUUAAUUCGACGUAAAUCGCGCGAUACACUCGACUAACGGUGCAACCUCGGUUAACACUGCGAACGAGUCCAAAGGAUUAGGCCAUAAAUGAAAGUAACUGCAUUCCAAGAAUUUUUAUAACUUUGCUCUGCCAUUUUACCUUCUAUCAUUCCCACUGGCUCUCUGUCUUUCUACGAUCUGGCAGAAUACGCGCAGACAGCACGUUACGCGCAUCUAGAUUUCUGCUCCGACAUUCACGAUAACCCAUCGUCCGUGUCAUUUUGUAAUCGAGCAUUUUUACCAAAAAGUGAUAACGCAGAUUUUCCUAAGCGAGAACGAGAGCUACGCUCGAAGUGGACCAACCUCAGUGGAUUGAUGUAAAAGUAAGG
rnacentral:misc_RNA from 1 species